CAUGAUGAACGCUAGCUACAGGCUUAACACAUGCAAGUCGAGGGGAAACGACAUCGAAAGCUUGCUUUUGAUGGGCGUCGACCGGCGCACGGGUGAGUAACGCGUAUCCAACCUGCCCAUCACUUGGGGAUAACCUUGCGAAAGUAAGACUAAUACCCAAUGACGUCUCUAGAAGACAUCUGAAAGAGAUUAAAGAUAUAUCGGUGAUGGAUGGGGAUGCGUCUGAUUAGCUUGUUGGCGGGGUAACGGCCCACCAAGGCAACGAUCAGUAGGGGUUCUGAGAGGAAGGUCCCCCACAUUGGAACUGAGACACGGUCCAAACUCCUACGGGAGGCAGCAGUGAGGAAUAUUGGUCAAUGGGCGAGAGCCUGAACCAGCCAAGUAGCGCGCAGGAUGACGGCCCUAUGGGUUGUAAACUGCUUUUAUAAGGGAAUAAAGUGAGUCUCGUGAGACUUUUUGCAUGUACCUUAUGAAUA
rnacentral:rRNA from 1 species